rnacentral:lncRNA from 1 species
GUUAGGAAUCUGGGCAAGGAUGUCCGGGAAGGGUGGGAUUUCAAGUUUAGGAACCUGAGUGCAAAGGAACUACCAGUGAUUAUUGCUGCAGUUUAGAGCUUGAGGCCGGGCGCGGUAGCUCACUCCUGUAUUCUCAGCACUUUGGGAGGCGGAAGGAGGCAGAUUGCUUCAGCUCAGGAGUUCGAGACCCCUCUGGGCAACAUAGCUAAACCUGUCUAAAAAAAAAAAAUAGCUGCGCGUGAUGGCGUAGCCUGUGCUCCCAGCUACUCAAGAGGCUGAGGUGGGAGAAUCACUUGAGCCCAGGAGGUCAAGUCUGCAGUGAGCUGAGAUCAUGCCAGUGCACUCCAGCCUGGGCGAUAUAGUGAGACCCUGUCUCUAAAAAUAAAAUAAAGCUGAAUGAAGGCUUUUAGAGGUAGAUUGUUGCUAGGGCCGCAGAGGCUUUCCUUUGUAUAUAGGCUAAGAACUUUAUCCUCCAAGCAAAGGUGCAAAAUAUUAGGGCACAAUCUGAAGAUCAGUAAGGGUGAGGUAAUAUAAAUUACAGCAUGACAUACCAUAAAAUAAUUAAUUAUAUUGACUAGUUCAGAUGUUCCCAUAGUUGUCUGUAUCUUGUGUUCAUCAUGCAUAAGGAGGAAGACAGGAAAGAAAGUUCUACAGUCUGUAUCUUGUGUUCAUCAUGCAUAAGGAGGAAGACAGGAAAGGAAGUUCUACAGUUCUUAACCACCUACCUCCUGUAUUUUUUUCUUCCUCCCUGGUCUUCCAUAUUACCUAAUUUAAUCUGUUGAUGGCGCCAUUGAAUCUCUCUCUGGACUACAAAAGGCAGUUCCUAACCAAUCCAAAUUUACCUUGUCUUAACAUAUGGGAAGCCAGCAUUUCCCAAACUUUGUUGUUUGUGAACUCUCUUCACUGCAACUGCUAGCUCUCCCCACCAAAGACCACCAGAAUAACCUGUCAGUAAGUAAAUUUGAGUUUCUUACAGCAUUAGAAAAGAACAUUGUGGCCGGGCGUGAGCCACCAUACCCGGCCAUGUGUGAUUUAGUUCUAUGCAAUAUUAUCACCUGUGUCAAUUUCUCUGAACACUACAGUCAAGAUAUAGAGUAGUUCCAUCACAGGAAUUCCUCAUGCUACCCUUCUACAGCCAAACCACCUCACUUUCUACCCUCACCACCAUCAACCCCCAUGAAACCACUCGUCUGGUCUCCGUCUCCUUUUUUCCCCCUCCAUCUUAAUUGAGGUAUAAUUGAGUUAAAAUCCAUCUCUUUAAUUUUGUCAUUUCAAGAAUAUUAUAUACAUGAAUCAUACAGCAGCAACAACAACAAAAAAGCCUUUUUUGAGAUGGAGUUUCACUCUUGUUGCCCACGCUGGAGUGCAAUAGCACAAUCUCAGCUCACUGUAACCCCUGUCUCCCAGGUUCAAGCGAUUCUCCUGCCUCAGCCUCCCGUGUAGCUGGGAUUACAGGCGCCCGCCACCACGCCUGGCUAAUUUUUUGUAUUUUUAGUAGAUACGAGGUUUCACCAUGUUGGUCAGGCAGGUUUCAAAUCCUGACCUCAGGUGAUCCACCCACCUGAGCCUCCCAAAGUGCUGGGAGUACAGGUGUGAGCCACCGUGCCUAGCUUUUUUUUUUUUUUUUUUUUGAGACGGAGGCUGUCGCCCAGGCUGGAGUGCAGUGGCACGAUCUCGGCUCACUGCAAGCUCCGCCUCCCAGAUUCAGGCCAUUCUCCUGCCUUAGCCUCCUGAGUAGCUGGGACUACAGGCGCCUGCCACCAUGCCGGCUAAUUUUUUUUGUAUUUUUAGUAGAGACAGGGGUUUCACCAUGUUAGCCAGGAUGGUCUCGAGCUCCUAACCUUGUGAUCCGCCCGCCUCGGCCUCCCGAGUGCUGGGAUUACAGGCGUGAGCCACCGCACACGGCCUUUAUUAUUAUUAUUAUUUUUUAAAAAGACAGAGUCUUGAUUGCUCUGUUUCCCAGGCUGGUCUCAAACUCCUAGGCUCAAGCAAUCCUGCCUCAGCCCCCUGAGUAGCUGGCACUACAGGAAUGUGUCAUUGCACCCAGCUGUUACUGACUUUUUGAUGAGAAGUUUUUAAUUUUGAUGACAAUUUAUCUAAGUUUUCUUUUAUGAUUAUUGCUUUCUGUGUCCUAAGAAACCUUUGCUUUUCUUGAAGUCGAGAGAUUCUCCUAUUUUUUUUUUUUUUUAAAUAGACACAGGGUUUCACCAUAUUGUUCAGGCUGGUCUUCAACUCCUGAGCUUAAGCAAUCUGCCCACCUUGGCGUCCCAAAGUGCUGAGAUAACAGGCAUGAGCCACCGUGCCCGGCCUCUAUAUUUUCUUCUAAAAGCUUUGUAUUUUAGCUUUUACAUUUAGGCUUAUGAAAUUGCUCUUUUAGUAGUCUCUUUUUCCCCCCUAAAAAAUAAGAUGGCUACGUGUGUGUGUUGGUUGUUGUUGUUUUAACAGGGUCCAAUCGUGUUGCCCAGGCUGCAGUGUGGUUGUACAAUCACGGCUCACUGCAGCCUCCACCUCCCAGGCCCACGUGAUCCUCCCACCUCAGCCGCCUGAGUAGCUGGGACCACAGGUGUGCACUACCAUACCUAAUUUUUUUGUUUGUUUGAGACAGGGUCUCGCUCUGUUGCUUAGGCUGGAGUGCAGUGGUGAGAUCACGGCUUACUGCAGCCUUGACCUUCUGGGCUCAGACUAGGCACCAAAAUCACAUAGACUUGAUUCAUCCAAUGAACAAUAAAUAUGAUGCACCUACCACACCCCAGGUGCUGUUACAGAUGCUGGAGAUAUAGCCACAAAUAAGACAAGAUUCUUGCACACCAUGGAGUCUGUACACUAGUGUGUGAUGACUAGUUUUAUAUGUCAGCUGGGAUGGUGUUUUUGGAUGAAAUUAACAUUUAAAUCACUUAACUCUGAGUAAGCAGAUUGCCCUCCAUUAUGUGUGUGAGCCUCAUCCAGUCAGCUAAAGGCCUGAAUAGAAAGAAAAGAACAGCUUCCCCGAGUAAGAGUGAUUUCCCAACAGACUGCCUUUGGACUGGAACUGCACCAUCAUGCCAAAAAGCAGAAGGUAACACAAGCAGGAGAAAAAAAAAUCAAUCAACAGAAACAGACCCAGAAAUGACAGAGUUGAUGGAAUCCACAGAUACAACUUUAAAUAUGUCAACAAGGAAAAAUGGUUAUGCUAGACUGGUGCAAUUAUGAUUUUUUUCUUAUUUUUCUAAAUAUAUGAAAAUUAAACAAAAAGAACAUUAAUCCCUUAUAUGAAUAUUUAUUUUUUGAUGAUGAACAUUAUUCCCAAGAACAGAUAAAUGAAGGAAAUGAUAAACACCACAUUUAAGACAUUGAUUACCUCUUGGGGGAGGGAGACAGGGAGAAGGGUGCAACUGGGAUAGCUAUGUAGAACUAGACAGUGUGGUAGUACUACAUUUCUUAAGCUAAGAGGUGUGGAUGUGCCAUUGUAUUAUUCUUUAUACAGGUACUUUGUUUAUCUUAAAUAUUGCAAAAUACAAUUCAAAAAUAAACAAGGGCUGGGUGCAGUGGCUCACGCUUGUAAUCCCAACACUUUGAGAGGCCAAGGCGAGUGGAUCACCUGAGGUCAGGAGUUUGAGACUAGCCUGGCCAACACGGUAAAACCCUGUCUCUACUAAAAAUACAAAAAGUAUCUGGGCAUGGUGGUGGGUGCCUGAUAUCCCAGCUACUCAGGAGGCUGAAGCAGGAGAAUCGCUUGAACCCAGGAGGCAAGGUUGAAGUGAGCCGAGAUUGUGCCAUUGCACUCCAGCCUGGGAGAUAAGAGCGAAACUCCGUCUCAAAAAAAUAAAAAGUAAAAAUAAAAAUAAACAGUUACAGAAACAAUACCACAUAUUUAUAUUCAGAAUAGGAGUAGUAGUGUUAUUUCCAAAACUUUUUAUGAUCUCCCCCAUGAUCUUUCAAGAUAUGUUACUGAAAUGAGAUCAAAAGCGUGAAAGAGAUCCUCAGUGCAUGUGUGAUUUCCCUUUAGAUGUUAUCUUCUGAGGAUGUAUCCAGUUUUCUCAACAAGGCAGACUUGCUAUGUCCCUCUGAAAAUUUCUUUCCCUUUACUGUAUAACUUGCUUUUUGUUAAUUCCACGUUUAGUUAUAGUUAUUGUUCUCUGCCUCUUCAGUGUUUAUCUUUCAUCUCAAUAUUAAACACUGAUAUUGGGUAACUGAGUAAUGUUCAAUUAUUCCUUUCCUUGUGUUAUUUUUAUCCUAAGUGACUGCAAUUAUCUUCAUACAUGGAACAUGAAAAAUUUUAUUG